rnacentral:rRNA from 1 species
CCUACGGGCGGCAGCAGUGGGGAAUAUUGGACAAUGGGGGGAACCCUGAUCCAGCCAUGCCGCGGGUGUGAAGAAGGCCCUCGGGUUGUAAAGCACUUUCAGUGAGGAAGAACGCCUGGUGGUUAAUACCCAUCAGGAAAGACAUCACUCACAGAAGAAGCACCGGCUAACUCCGUGCCAGCAGCCGCGGUAAUACGGAGGGUGCGAGCGUUAAUCGGAAUUACUGGGCGUAAAGCGCGCGUAGGUGGCUUGAUAAGCCGGUUGUGAAAGCCCCGGGCUCAACCUGGGAACGGCAUCCGGAACUGUCAAGCUAGAGUGCAGGAGAGGAAGGUAGAAUUCCCGGUGUAGCGGUGAAAUGCGUAGAGAUCGGGAGGAAUACCAGUGGCGAAGGCGGCCUUCUGGACUGACACUGACACUGAGGUGCGAAAGCGUGGGUAGCAAACAGGAUUAGAUACCCCAGUAGUC